CCUACGGGAGGCAGCAGUGAGGAAUAUUGGUCAAUGGACGAGAGUCUGAACCAGCUAAGUAGCGUGAAGGAUGACUGCCCUAUGGGUUGUAAACUUCUUUUAUAUGGGAAUAAAAUGUUCCACGUGUGGGAUGUUGUAUGUACCAUAUGAAUAAGGAUCGGCUAACUCCGUGCCAGCAGCCGCGGUAAUACGGAGGAUCCGAGCGUUAUCCGGAUUUAUUGGGUUUAAAGGGAGCGUAGGUGGAUUGUUAAGUCAGUUGUGAAAGUUUGCGGCUCAACCGUAAAAUUGCAGUUGAAACUGGCAGUCUUGAGUACAGUAGAGGUGGGCGGAAUUCGUGGUGUAGCGGUGAAAUGCUUAGAUAUCACGAAGAACUCCGAGUGCGAAGGCAGCUCACUGGACUGCAACUGACACUGAGGCUCGAAAGUGUGGGUAUCAAACAGGAUUAGAUACCCCUGUAGUC
rnacentral:rRNA from 1 species